AGGACAAGAACAACCCCGGGAAACUGGGGCUAACUCUUGAUAGGCAAAGAACUCUGGAAUGAGUCUUUACCUAAAUAGAUUCACGUUAUCCUCGUGAAUCUGCCUAAGGAUGAGGCCGCGACCGAUCAGGUUGUUGGUGAGGUAAUGGCUCACCAAGCCUUUUACCGGUGCGGGCCGUGGGAGCGGGAGCCCGGAGAUGGGUACUGAGACAAGGACCCAGGCCCUACGGGGCGCAGCAGUCGCGAAACCUUUGCAAUAAGCGAAAGCUUGACAGGGCUAUCCCGAGUGCCAUCCGCUGAGGAAGGCUUUUACCCAGUCUAGAAAGCUGGGGGAAUAAGGAGAGGGCAAGUCUGGUGU
rnacentral:rRNA from 1 species